rnacentral:rRNA from 1 species
AUGAACGCUAGCGGCAGGCUUAACACAUGCAAGGUCAGGGGCAUCGGGAGUAGCAAUACUGCCGGCGACCGGCGCAAGGGUGCGUAACGCGUGAGCAACAUGCCCGUAUCAGGGGGGAUAAUCCAAUGGAAACGUGGUCUAAUACCCCAUAGUAAUUAUGUAAGGCAUCUUAUAUAAUUUAAAGCUUUGGUGGAUACGGAUUGGCUCGCGUGACAUUAGCUGGAUGGUAAGGUAACGGCUUACCAUGGCUACGAUGUCUAGGGGUUCUGAGAGGAAGGUCCCCCACACUGGAACUGAGACACGGUCCAGACUCCUACGGGAGGCAGCAGUGAGGAAUAUUGGACAAUGGAUGGAAAUCUGAUCCAGCCAUGCCGCGUGCAGGAAGAACCGGCCCUAUGGGUUGUAAACUGCUUUUGUAUGGGAGCAAUAAGGGCUACGUGUAGUCCGAUGAGAGUACCAUACGAAUAAGCACCGGCUAACUCCGUGCCAGCAGCUGC